GCAGUCGAGGGGUAUAGGUUUUCGGACCUAGAGACCGGCGCACGGGUGCGUAACGCGUAUGCAAUCUACCUUUUACAGAGGGAUAGCCCAGAGAAAUUUGGAUUAAUACCUCAUAGUAUUGUUGAAUGGCAUCAUUUAAUAAUUAAAGUCACAACGGUAAAAGAUGAGCAUGCGUCCCAUUAGCUAGUUGGUAAGGUAACGGCUUACCAAGGCAACGAUGGGUAGGGGUCCUGAGAGGGAGAUCCCCCACACUGGUACUGAGACACGGACCAGACUCCUACGGGAGGCAGCAGUGAGGAAUAUUGGUCAAUGGGCGCAAGCCUGAACCAGCCAUGCCGCGUGCAGGAUGACGGUCCUAUGGAUUGUAAACUGCUUUUGUACAGGAAGAAGCAGUUCUACGUGUAGAACCUUGACGGUACUGUAAGAAUAAGGAUCGGCUAACUCCGUGCCAGCAGCCGCGGUAAUACGGAGGAUCCAAGCGUUAUCCGGAAUCAUUGGGUUUAAAGGGUCCGUAGGCGGUUUUGUAAGUCAGUGGUGAAAGCCCAUCGCUCAACGGUGGAACGGCCAUUGAUACUGCAAGACUUGAAUUAUUGGGAAGUAACUAGAAUAUGUAGUGUAGCGGUGAAAUGCUUAGAGAUUACAUGGAAUACCAAUUGCGAAGGCAGGUUACUACCAAUAUAUUGACGCUGAUGGACGAAAGCGUGGGGAGCGAACAGGAUUAGAUACCCUGGUAGUCCACGCCGUANACGAUGGAUACUAGCUGUUCGGAGCAAUCUGAGUGGCUAAGCGAAAGUGAUAAGUAUCCCACCUGGGGAGUACGUUCGCAAGAAUGAAACUCAAAGGAAUUGACGGGGGCCCGCACAAGCGGUGGAGCAUGU
rnacentral:rRNA from 1 species